GUGUGUGUGUGCGCGCGCGCGCGCGCGCGUGCGCGAGUGCACAUGCACGUGUUGUGUUGUGUUUCCUCCAUAAGAAAUUCUUUUCCUGGAUUUGUGAUCCCUGUGGAACAUUAAGAACCUCUCCGAUUGAAUCUCAGGGAGGAACCGGAGGUAUGAAUGACAACUGUUUGAGAAGAAGGUCCCAAAUCCCUCUCUUAAAACCUUGGGAUUGUGCUUGAGACUCAGCCCCGAUGUGUUCCGUGGUGAGUCACUCACCUGGUUUACCCACACUGUAUGCUCCCCCUACCUGCCCCUACCUUGUCAUAAGUGCUGAGGAUUGAACCCAUGGCCUCGUUGCAUGUCAGGUGCUGGGAACAUUAAAUCUUCAUGUCUGGAGGACAAGAAAACUAAAAGUACUCAUUGUUCAGUAGCCACUGAGGCUGAUGGGAGGCGGGACUGUGGAUUCACGUGGCUGACGAUGACUGGUCUUCCUGGCCAUAUUACUUUCUCUUUCUUUUAUCAAGUACAGACAUGGCGCCUGCCUGGAGUGGUGGUAUGAGUGCCCAAUCUCAACGAAACAACCAAGGCCACCUGUUCCCAUUUUUUUUUAUUGCUGUUGUUACAUGUGUAUAUGUGACAUAUGUGCAUGUAUGUUCAUGUGUUUGUGGGUACACAUUGUAUGCCGGUGUGUGUGGAUAUGUCUCUACGUGGCCAUUGAAGAAAUUAAAACAGGAAGACUCGAUUGUUAAAAAAAAAAAAAAAAA
rnacentral:lncRNA from 1 species